rnacentral:rRNA from 1 species
UACGUAGGGUGCAAGCGUUACUCGGAAUUACUGGGCGUAAAGCGUGCGCAGGCGGCUUUGUAAGUCUGUUGUGAAAGCCCCGGGCUUAACCUGGGAAUUGCGAUGGAGACUGCAAGGCUUGAAUCUGGCAGAGGGGGGUAGAAUUCCACGUGUAGCAGUGAAAUGCGUAGAGAUGUGGAGGAACACCGAUGGCGAAGGCAGCCCCCUGGGUCAAGAUUGACGCUCAUGCACGAAAGCGUGGGGAGCAAACAGG